rnacentral:lncRNA from 1 species
UUUGUUCUUCAUGUUCAUUUCUUCAUUUCUUGCCUCCUUUGAUCUUCAAUUUCAUCCAUCCAUUUGGCACCAAGCAUGUGAUAUCCAUUUUAUGCUCAAAAUUGCUCCAAAAGGCCCCAAUUGCACUUUCUUGCCAACUUUGUCAUUUGGACCUAUAAACACAUGAAAAUAGCUUAAAACACUAUAAUAACCACAAACUAACUAUAAAAGUGCAAGAAAACAAGCUAACUAAGUCGCAUAAAUAUGCUCCUAUCAAAUUCCCCCACACUUAGCUUUUGCUAGUCCUCGAGCAAAACAAAGGAAACAAAACAAACAAAACAUAACCUAAACCUUCCAACAUUUCCCUCAGGGAUUUCCAAUGAAACAUGACACAUUAAAAAUCACUACUCACAUAGAUUUUAGUUAUCCCUACCCUCAAGCGCAUACUUAAUCACAGUCACCACUUACUAGUUCGCAUUUAAUCACAUAAAACAACAUUUUGAAUGUAGUAACAUGCCUUAGAGAAUUCCCUCAAUUCCUCACCGGAUAUACACUCUAUUUUCACACAGAAUUUCUGACUACACUCCCCAUACUAGGUAUAUGUGAGAAGAUUGAUGUAAAUAUGUAAACUAACACUCACAUAAGUUAUAAGCGAAGAAAGCAUUUUCUGGAAUUAUUAAUGCAUGUAUAUAUAUAUGAUCUCACGAACGGAAUGCUACUACUUAGACACGAGAACCAGGGAUACCAUAUGCUCAUACCAAUCCCAAACUCCACAUAUUGAAAUACACAACAACCAAGAUCAAAGUCUAAGGGUUGUAAUAGGGCUAAGGGUAUUGGCUAACAAAGAAAGGUAAGGAAAACAAACGUUCUUAAAGCAAUAGUAAGCAAGGUAAUGAAAUUGACACUUAGAAUUCACUUUUGAAUGCAAAAAUCAACUUUUAAACACAAGGGAAGAUUCCUACACACUUAGGGCCAAAUUCAACUUUUUGGACCCUUUCUUCAACAACCAACACUUUAGAGCUCUUCUUUAUUCUUUUCACAACUUUUCUUUCUUUCUUUCUUUCUUUUUUUUUUUUCUAUUUUCCACGAAUUUUUUCUUUUCUUUUUCUUUUCCACCCGUGCCUCAUUUCUUCCCCCACACUUGUUUUCUAGAACAAUGUUGAUCAAAAGGAAUUCCCUCUAAGUUUUUAUCCACUAUACUUUAAGAACAAGGGUGUGGAUAGUCCUAUUCU